GAUGAACGCUAGCGAUAGGCCUAACACAUGCAAGUCGAGGGGCAUCACAUGAAGUAGCAAUACGGAUGGUGGCGACCGGCGCACGGGUGAGUAACACGUAUGCAACCUGCCUUCAACAAGGGGAUAACCCGUUGAAAGACGGACUAAUACCCUAUAACACAGGGGUCCCGCAUGCGAAUAUUUGUUAAAGGACAACCGGUUGAAGAUGGGCAUGCGUUCCAUUAGCUAGUUGGCGGGUAACGGCCCACCAAGGCAACGAUGGAUAGGGGAACUGAGAGGUUUAUCCCCCACACUGGUACUGAGACACGGACCAGACUCCUACGGGAGGCAGCAGUGAGGAAUAUUGGUCAAUGGGCGAGAGCCUGAACCAGCCAAGUCGCGUGCAGGAAGAAUGUCCUAUGGAUUGUAAACUGCUUUUGCAGGGGAAUAAAGUGAGCCACGUGUGGUUUUUUGUAUGUACUCUGCGAAUAAGGAUCGG
rnacentral:rRNA from 1 species